CAGCAGAAAAGGAAACAUCAUAAGGGAAUGGACCUGGCCUUCAAAAGGAAAACUUGAUAAUCCAGUGGAAAUUUGGGAUUAAUUCAAACACUUCUGAGCUGCCAGUCUGAAACUGUGUCCGGAAUUGGUGGAUUCUUGGUCUCACUGACUUCAAGAAUGAAGCCGCGGACCCUCGCAGUGAGUGUUACAGCUCUUAAGGUGGUGCGUCUGGAGUCUGUCCCUUCUGAUGUUCAGAUGUGUUCGGAGUUUUUUCCUUCUGGUGGGUUCGUGGUCUCGCUGGCUCAGGAGUGAAGCUGUAGACCUUCGCGGUGAGUGUUACAGCUCUUAAGGCAGCGCGUCUGGAUUUGUUUGUUCCUCCG
rnacentral:lncRNA from 1 species